rnacentral:lncRNA from 1 species
UUUGAACAUGAAGGGGUGCUGUAUUGUAUUGAGAUGAUCAUACGAUUCUUAUCUUGAUGUGAUGCAUUACAUUUAUUGAUUUCUGUAUGUUGAACCAAACUUGCAUCCCUGGGACGAACCCCCUUUGUUUAGGGUGCACUAUCUUUUUAAUAUGUUUUUGUAUGUGAUUUGCCAGAAUUUUAUUGAGAAGUUUUGUAUCUAUGUUCAUUAGAGAUAUGGGUCUGAAGUUUUCUUUCUGUGAUGUGUCUUUGCCUGGUUUUGGAAUCAGGGUGAUGUUGGCCUCAUAGAAUAAGUUUGGAAGUGUCCCCUCUUUUUCUAUUUCAUGAAAUAAUUUGAGGAGUACUGGUAUUAGUUCUUCUUUGAAGGUCUUAUAGAACUCAGCUGUUUAUCCAUCUGGUCCUGGACUUUUCUUGGUUGGUGGACUUCUGAUGGCAUCUUCUAUUUCAUUGCUUGAAAUUGAUCUGUUUAAAUUGUGUAUAUCAUCCUGAUUCUGUCUGGGUGAAUCACAUGAUUCUAGAAAUUUGUCAAUGUCUUUGAUAUUUUCAAUUUUAUUGGAGUACAAAUUUUCAAAAUAAUUUCUAAUUGUCUUCUGUAUUUCUGUAGUGUCUGUCAUGAUAUUUCCUUUUUCAUUAUGGAUUUUAGUAAUUUGAGUUUUCUCCUUCUCUUCAUUAGCAUGGAUAAGGGUUUAUCAGUUUUAUUUAUUUUUUCGAAGAACCAACUUUUUGUUUUGUUGUCAGUGUUUUUAGUUGUUACUUUUGUUUCCAUUUCAUUGAUUUCAGCUCUUAUUUUAAUCAUUUCCUGUCUUCUUCUGCUUUUGGUGUUGAUUUGUUCUUCUUUUUCUAGGACUUUGAGAUGUAAUGUUAGGUCAUUUAUUUGUUGAUUUUUUUCUUCUUUUAAGGAAUGAACUUCAUGUAAUGAACUUUCCUUUUAGUAUUGCUUUCAUAGUGUCCCAGAGAUUUUGAUGUGUUGUAUCAGUGUUCUCAUUUACCUCUAAGAUUUUUUAAAUCUCCUUUUUGAUGUUUUCUGCAAUUUAUUGUUCAUUCAAUAGCAUAAUAUUUAGUCUACAGGUGUUGGAGUAACUUCUAAUUUUCAAUUUAUCAUUGAUUUUUAAUUUCAUUCCACUGAUAGAAUGCAAGGUAGUAUCUCUACUUUUUUUGUGUUUGCUAAGAGUUGCUUUGUGAGAUAAUAUACGGUCUGUUUUAGAGACGAAUUCAUGUGCUGCUAAGUGUAUUCACUCAUUGGAUGGAAUAAUCUAUAUGUAUUUGUUAAGUCUAAGUUAUUGGUUGUAUUGAGUUCUAUAGUUUCUUUGUUUAGCAUUUGGAAGAGCUAUCUAGUGGUGAAAGAGAUGUUUUAAAGUCACCUAGUAUUAUUGGGUUGUGGUCUCUUUGACUCUUUAAAUUGAGAAGAGUUUGUUUGAUGAACAUAGAUGCUCCAUUGUUUGGGGCAUAUAUAUUUAAAGCCUGCAGUAUUUAUAGUUUAGCCCUUUGCAAAGUAAAAUGUGUACCUUUCUUCUAAAGUUUCAAGUAAUUUCAGCUUGAAUUUAUGACAGAUUAUUUUUUUACUUGUUGAUAGUGAGAUAUUUUAUAAACUAGGCAGUGUUUGAACUAUUUUGAAAAGCAGUGGUUUUAUACCUUUGUGGCCUACAGUCUGUAAUUCAAAUGGAAUACUUUUGGAGACUGACACAUAAAACACAUUAAAAAGUUCAAAAGAAUGAAUUCGGCUUUGUGACGGAUACAGUAUAGACAAUGGAAUUCGGACCUAGGAGAUUUAAGAUUUUUUAGUGUCAUUGUGAGGAAAUAAAAGAAUAAGAAUAAUAUACAUUUAUUUAUUUAAUUUUAUUUGCUUUUUUUUCCCCCUUGAAAUGGGUCUUUCUAUGACGUCCAGACAAAUUAGCUUGAACUUGUGGACUCAACACCCUCCCUGCCCGGGACUACAAGUGUGUGUUCCACCAUGCCUGGCUUACUUACUGUGUUUAAAAGUUG